GAUUCAGUCUGGUGAUGACUGGGCAGCACCCAAAACACAACAUGGUCUCACAUGGAGGAAAUCUGCAGGAGUCUACCGUCUCAGCGGAUGAUUUCAUAGUGAGACGUGGGUCCACAUCACUAGUCUGGAAAUGGUUCGGUUUUGACAAGACUGAUGUCAGUCAAAAUAAGGUUAUAUGCAGCUGGGGCAACGUAAAGGGGGGUUAACAUGACAAAUUCAUGUGGAGGGGGUCCAGUGGAUACAGGUUAGAAGUUUUGAAAAUUUUUUUUACACCAUUUUUUGUUAAAAAAAAAAAAAAAAAAAAAUUCACAUUUUAAAGGAUAUCAUCAAAUUACCGUUAUUGGGAAAUUU